AUGGUAGCUCGUAGGAAAACACUGCAGAACUCCAAUGAUGACUAUCCAAAGAUAGUGGACUUCAUCAGUCGGUUUACGGUCCAUCAUAUCAAUGUGAACUUCUCUUGCAGAAAGCAUCGAGCCAAUAGAGCAGAUGUUCACAGUGGGAGCAUGUCUUCAAGGCUAGAUGCUAUUAGGAAUGUCUAUGGGGCUUCGGUUGUUCGUGAUCUGAUGAUGGAUGGUUUCAUCUCGAAUGCAAAUUAUGUGGCAAAAAAGACUACUAUGAUUCUUUUCAUAAAUGAUAGACUUGUAGACUGCACUUCUUUGAAAAGGGCUACUGAAUUUGUGUACUCUGCAAUACUGCCUCAAGCAUCCAAACCCUUCAUAUACUGUCCAUCAAUCUUCCACCAGAACACAUGGAUGUCAAUAUACAUCCAACCAAAACGGCGUCAAGUCUCACCUUGUACUCAUACUAUGGCACGUCUAUGGUCAAUGGUGUACAUUUGCUCCUUCCGUGUAGAUUGUUAUAAUCUUUGGCUCUUUGAAUGUUUAAACUUUAAAGUGCAGUAUAUUACAAAAAUCCAUCUGGGUUUCUACAUUUGGCCAAGCACAUCUUGUAGUUUAAUAGUUGAUGGAAGUGCUAGAGAAAAAUCUCAAAAGGUUCCUGUGAGCCAAAUGGUCAGAACAGAUCCACGCGAUCCAUCUGGAAGGUUGCACACCUAUUGGCAAGGUCAAUCUUCAAAUCUAGAAAAGAAAUCUGACCUUGUUUCGGUAAGAAAUAUUGUAAGAUCAAGAAGAAAUCCAAAAGAUGCUGGUGAUUUGUCCAGUCGCCAUGAGCUUCUUACAGAAAUAGAUUCUAACUUAUAUCCCGAAUUGCACACAUAUGUUGGAGUUGCCAAUGAAGUUUUAGCUUUGAUACAACACAAUACCCUCUUAUACCUUGUCAACGUGGUAAAUGUUCGAACACCACGACAGUUGGCGCCCAUCGUGGGGCGUGACGCGACACCGGUUGGAGUCACGUUCCGGACAAGACCCUUCACUCCCACUGGCGAGCGCAUCGCGCAUGACCUAGUCAGCAGGCUCGGUGCGGUGGUUCAGAACCUGCACACUCCCAUCGUGCCCAACGUCGACCCUGCUGCUGCCGCGACCGAGCUCGAGGAGGCACACGUGGCCUGCUCGACGGGGCCAAGGAGCUUGCCCCAGCCCGGCAACCCCUGCCCGCGCGGCGGGACCGGCCGGCCUUUGUGGGGCCGGUUGCGUGCCCUGCGGUCACCGACCGAUUGGGGCCUCGCGCACCCCAUGACGAGCAUGAUGCUUGCUACCGCAUCGAGCGGUUGGGGCGCUCCCUCAUAUAAACUCUAUGAUGAUGACUUAUGUGUUGAUUACUUGUGCUGGAAGUAG
rnacentral:rRNA from 1 species